rnacentral:tRNA from 1 species
GGGUAUAUAGCUCAGUGGUAGAGCAUUCGACUGCAGAUCGAAAUGCCCUAUUAUUGGCUUGGAACAGGUGUUCCG